ACAACCCGGGCGUGUGCCCUGACCGGGAAUUGAACCCUGACCUCCUGGUUCAGAGGUCCACGCUCAAUUCACUGAGCCCCCCGGCAGGGUGAGUGUGUUUUAACUGGGCUUAGGACACUUGUAGGUCUGCAGAAAACCUGUGGAGGUGGCACGCAGUUCCUCCACCCUGUCCCCAGUCCCCCCGUAUUCACAUCUUUGAUUUGUAUGAUCCAUUUGCCCCAGUAUCAACACAUUGUUAUCAACAGAAGCCCACACAUUAUUCAGGAUUUCCGGGGGCCCCCAUGUCUUUCUCCUGUCCCAGGAGCCCGUCUGGGACACCUCGCUACCUGUGGCCAUCGUGUCCCCUCAUGGCGGCGACAGUUCUCAGACGUCCCUUGUCGUGGUGACUUGCCCAGAGGAGGCCUGUCCUCAGUUGGAAUUUGAUGUUUUUCUCAUGACUGGGGCUGUGGGUCAUGGGGAAGAAGGCACUGGGCAGAAUGCCACUCUCACCACGUCACGGCCAAGGGACAUACUGCCAACGCGAUUUGUCACUCACGCUGGGGCGUGUCUGCCAGGUGUUUGCACGUGAGGUCCCUCCUGCCCCCACUUCCAUACCGUCCCGCGCUGAGGGAGCGGGAACGGCCGAGCACCCAACACCGUGGACCAGCCCCUCCCGGUCAAACCCCGGGCAGCUCCUCCUGCCCCCGGGAUGAAGCUGACCUCCUGGCCCUGGCCGGUGUGGCUCAGUGGUAGAGCCCACACACCGAAGGGUCUCGGGUUCGAUGGCUGGGCAAGGGCACACACCUGGGUAGCAGGUUCGAUCCUCAGCCCCAGGUCCCUCCCUCCCUUCCACUCCCUCUGAAAAAAACCUGUGGAAAGCCUGUCACCAAGGCCAGGCCGGUGAGGACGCGGUGAGAGGGCGCUGGCUGUAGCCGGAAGGGGUUCGCACAGUCACUGCAGCUGCGGGCACCUCGAUCCUGGACUUACAGCCCCCAGGACUGUGAGAAGUAAUUGUCUUGUUGUUUAAGCCAAAAAAGUACAUAAAUUUAAAAAAGGGCAAGAAUAGCCUCGGGAGAGGAUUUAGGAAAAAAUUAAAAAGUCGUCAUCAAGCUUGAAAAUGCUUACAAGGGAGAGAGGGCCCAAGAAAGCAACACCGCGGAUUGGAGAGAACGAAGCAGCCGAGAGCUCUCCGAGGAGGUUCUGCGAGAGGUGGGAACAGCAGGAGCCAAACGGAGGAGAACUUGAAGGCUCCAGGAGACGUUCCCUUACACCUUUGUUUGGAAUUUCGGACAGAAUGGGGCGGGGAAUUGUGAGAAGAGAUAGUUGCCUGGGAAUGAUCCAGAACUGAUGAAAAGAUGUCAACCUACAGGUCUGAAGAGGCCAAAUAUUUGCCGAGUGACUAAGUGGAUGGGAGAUUCCGCGAUUCGUGUGCCCUGCCCCGCCUCGCCCUUAGCCCUGGGCCUCAGUGGGUGGGAAGCCCCCCACCGCCUCUCCCGCGCUCGGCGCCCGUGGGAGCCAGUCCGCGGAACUGAGCCCUGCCAGCCCCGUGCCUCCUGUGCCAGAUGUCCUUCACCCACUGCUCGGCCCCUGUUGCCUGCCUCCUAGUUGCCGCUCAGGCUUAAAAUAGACAGGAAUGCAGCCCAGCUACCGUGCUGUGACCAGCCCAGCCUGCAACCCAGAACCUGCCCCUCGGGGAACAGGAGCAGCUAAACCUCCUUGGCCGCCUUUCUUUCUUGGAACAAAGGGAAGCAUUUCACACCAGAAAAACCACCCAGUACCCUUCCAGCCAGAGGCGAGGCGGGGAAGACAAGACGGUGAGGAAGGGUUUGUGUUGUCUUCCCUCUGUGGUGCCUCAGGGACCCGGCCACCACCCAGACUAGGCCCUGACCCCCACCCCCCAGCUGACCUGUCAAGGAGCCAUGCUUUUCUAGAAAUAGAAUUAAUGCCUUAUUUCUGCAGCAAAGGAACUGAGGCGGGAAUUAGCCCUAUUCUCCAGAUGGGAAAACGGAGGUCCCAGAGCAAAGCAAUUUGCUUUUCUUGUCAGUUGCCAGAACCCAGGUUCUCCGGUUCCCAGACCAGCUGUGUCCUCGCCUGCCACCUCCAAGCAGGCGCCUGCUGUGUCUGAACAGGGCCACCAGACUCUGCAGGGGACAGUCGUCUGGGGUUCCCGACCCCAGGAGAGGACAGGUCACUGGCAAGGACAGGGCACACUGGAGGGAAGGUUUCAGGCAGCUCACAAAGGAGAACGUGAAACGCACAGGUUGACGGAGAGCGAACGAAGCCGGGGGUCCCCACGUGGAGUCAGGCACAUGCUUCAUAGCCCUUCGCUUUCCUGGGCGCCACAGAGGUUUCAGAUUUUACAGAGUGAAGGCCAGACCCUCCCCGGCCGGGAGAUGACCCCUGGCUUCGUUGCCGUGUCCUGGGACCCAGGCCGAGGCCCGCCGGACGGAUCGCACGCCCCAGCACGCAUGAACCUUGAACAGAUUGCGCAAAGCGAAAGAAGCCGGCCACGAAAGCACAGAGGACGGUGUGGCGCGCUGAGUAGCAAUCCUGCGAGAAAACCCACAUCCUCACCCCCAGCACCUGCCACGCUGCCUCCUGUAGCCGAUGGGGCCUGGCAGGUGCCAGGCGGUCAGGGACCCUGCGGCAGGACAGCCUCCCGGUGACCAGGUGGCUGGAGCCCUUCUAAGAGGGAGGCAGGGUCGGAGGCAGGGCCGUGUGGCCCGGGGUAGGAGGGCGUGCGAGUGGUGUGCCCUCAACAUGGAAGGGGCCACCUCCCAGCUAAGGAGAGCAGGGCCUCGAGAAGCUUCCGGAAGGCAGAAGGAGCCGGUCCUGCCAGCACCGCAGCGGAGACUCCUGGAUUCCUGGUGUCCAGGCGAGAAGAGAGACAGACACUUAUUCCAGCUGGCGGCGGUGAAAGCAGCCCGGGAACCGCAGACGCGGGGGUGCACAUGGUACGCGUGCAGUUAAACACGACACGGAUGAUGAAACGAAGAGGCGAGAGCCUGGGGAGGAGGCGGCAGAUUUGGGGGAUCCGAUAAGGCAGCCCCUCUUCAAAGGAGAGAGUGAGCCCUGGCCCGUGUGGCCCAAGGGUUAGAGCGUCUGCCUGUGGACCGAAGGGUCUCGGGCUCAAUUCC